GCCACACAUGCGAGAUGCGACAUGGCCCGCCAGUCUAGGUGCGCAAAAUUUUUGCACGUGGUCCGAGAACUUUGCCCAACCCUGUUCUAGUUCAUAUUUUCAGCUUUGUUGAGAAAUAAAUUACUGAUUUUUGAAUAAUAUCUAUUUUGUUUUAAAAUUCAAUAGAGUUAUAUUGGGUAAUCAUAUGUAUUAAUAUGAUUUAUUUUCAGUAUGUAUGCUAUGUAAGCUUACCCAAUCAACCUUAAUUCAGUGUUAUUAUAUUUUAAAGUGAAUUGGAAAGUAGACCGCUAGCAAAAAAGAUUCGGGCGAUUGGGGGGAAGCCCAUCUCUGUACAAUGACUGCCAAAUGUGCAUGCAACUGUGCAAUGCCCAGCGACUCUAAAAGCAUGAAGUAUUGUACGACACAUCCUUUACAAAUAUUUGGAGAUAUUUUGUGCCCUAUGACAAUGGACUGGAAAAUUCACCUGCUUCAAUUCCCUCUUUCACGCAAUCAUACACUGUGUCAUUUCAAGCAUCUCAAUGUUUCAAUGCGGACAAUGCCCAAAACAGAGAUCAAGCCAUGCUCCAAUCCAGUCCAUG